rnacentral:rRNA from 1 species
GUAUCACAUAGCUGAAUACAUAGGCUUCGUGAAGCGAACCCGGCGAACUGAAACAUCUCAGUAGCUGGAGGAAAAGACAUCAACCGAGAUUCCGUUAGUAGUGGCGAGCGAACGCGGACCAGGCCAGUGCCUGAAUUUCAACUAGCAGAAGCCUUUGGAAAGAGGUGCCAUAGCGGGUGACAGCCCCGUAUGCGAAAGUGAGAAUUCAGGACUUGAGUAGGGCGGGACA